UGCUCUUACCCUAAAUACAUAUAGUCUUUGUUCGAUGUUUCCUUUCCCUCAUGAUCAUCAAAGCAAAAAUAUGGAAUUACAAAUAUCUUCGACUCCCCACCAAGAAGAUUUUAUGCAACAGGAUCUGAUCAUGAUGCGGGGUAGUCAUGAGGUUUUGCCAUCUGAUCUGCAGGGACGUAGUCUAUCCAAUAUUAAUAUUAGUGAAGCAAAUAUUAACAAUAUGGCUACUGAUUCUGGCGAAAGGAAGAUCUUGCGUAGGGACAACGAGCGCCAAAGAAGACAAGUUAUGGCGAUUCGCACUGCAUCACUUCGAUCCCUCCUCCCUCUUGAAUUAAUCAAGGGAAAACGUUCAAUCUCCGAGCACAUAAAUGAAGCAGUGAAUUAUAUAAAGCAGCUGAAGGAAAAGAUACAGGAGCUGAAUGCCAAGAGGGAAGAGCUUAGAAGGGUGUAUAAACAUUACAGUAGUUCUGCACAUGAUUUCAGUCCUGAAAUUAAUGAAAAUUUGGGUACUAAGAGUACUUCCAAUAUCAUGGUUGGCCCAACAUGUUGGGGUGGAGUGGAGAUUGUGGUAAGUACUAAUGGUACAAAUUGCAGUGAGCUAGAAGGAUUUUCUCUUUCAGGAGUACUCAAAGCAUUGCUUGCAGAGGGCCUUACCGUUGUGGAGUGUGCUUCCACCACAGCAAAUCAGAGGUUGUUUCACUCUAUUCAGUGUGAGGUCGACGAUUUGGCAUGUCUGGAUUUGUCUGAGCUACAACUGAAACUAAAUUUUUUAUGCAAUUCUGGCUAGUCAGCAUGGCAUUCUAGUUCGGAGAUAGGGUUAAGUUGGAACAAGAAGAAGCAAAUUUUUUUUUUAUCUCCAGCAAUAUUGCACGCAGCCGCAUAUCAAAUUUCAAAAGAAUCAAUAGGAAGAAGAAGAUAAGAGAAAGAGGAGCUGAUUUUGAGAAAGCUUGUUUUGAUUUUGCGAAAGCUUGGUUUGUCAAAUUUCCAAAAGUUGAAGCUUUCACUCACUCUGAGCGGCAUAUCUCUUUGAGGCUCGACUCUCCUUCAGAAUUGAAGGUUUUCUCUCCUUUACAUAUAAAGAAGUACUGAAGCCAACAUGGAUAUACAUGAACAAUUGUGCACAUUUGAUUCCAUGAACUCGGCACAUAUACUAGUUUCACAUCAGCAGCCCCCAACAUAUUUCAACCUCUUCAAUAUGGUUACAAGAUUCGUUUGUUCUUUUUUUCUUUUCUUUUUUAUCCAAACCGAUGGGAUA